GGAGGAGUGCCCGGAAUGGUAACGGAGCGCUUUCGAAAAGCGUCGUGCGCAAGCACUUGGAGGUUCGAGUCCUCUCUCCUCCG
rnacentral:tRNA from 1 species